GGACUACCCGGGUAUCUAAUCCCGUUUGCGCCCCAGGGCUUCGUCCCUCACCGUCGGAUUCGUUCUAGUCAGACGCCUUCGCCACCGGUGGUCCUUCCAGGAUUACAGGAUUUUACCCCUACCCCAGAAGUACCUCUGACCUCUCCCGGUCCCAAGUCUCCCAGUCUCCCCGGACUUCGGACAGUUAAGCUGCCCGAUUUACCCAAGGAUUUAGAAGACCGGCUACGGACGUUUUAGGCUCAAUAAUAUCGACCACCACUUGGGGCGCGGGUAUUACCGCGGCGGCUGGCACCCGUCUUACCCGCCCCUUACUCCUCCUGUUUUUUAGACAGAAGAACAGCUAACACAAAGUGCUAGCACUUGGAAUUCCCUCGUCGGGGUUGCCCCCAUUGUGAAGUUUUCGCGACUGCUGCCCCCCGUAGG
rnacentral:rRNA from 1 species